rnacentral:tRNA from 1 species
ACCUGGGUGGCUCAGUCAGUUGAGUGUCUGACUUCAGCUCAGGUCAUGAUCUCACAGUUUCGUGAGUUCGAGCCCCGCCUCCAGUG